rnacentral:misc_RNA from 1 species
UGAGGCAUCCUUAUUGCAGCGGUCUUUCUCCACACCCCUCCCCACCUUCUACGCUUCUACCCCCUCUCCGCCCCUCCACCCUCCUCGAGCCUGUCAGGACGUACACACCCAGUCUCACAUGUCUGGCUCUGUACAUGUUUUUGCGGGCGACACACGUGCUCGUGGGAACGCACGUUCAUUCGCGGCUGGGCGCUCUCCCUCUUCCACCGCUCGCCUUGAUCUCGGUGCUCGUGUGACUGGGCGGUCAAGAGCGGAUGGAAAGGGGGAGUGGCGGAUGGGUCCGAUGACGUUCAAGGCGAUGCGUGGGCGUUAGGGAGGCAGCCCAAUAUGCUUUGGCCCCUGUGCACUAGGAAUAAGUGGUGUUGUUGGUGGGGGAGGACAAUACCCACUCGUGGGUGUCUGCACACACCCAUAGACAUGCGCACACAUAUGUGCAUUUUUUUUCUCGUUUUUUUUUCGUACUCGUGUUUCAAUGCCUUUCCACGCUAUUCCCGCUUCUAUUCCACACUCCCCCGACUUCCCCCAACUCCCCACACACCCCCACUCCCUCGCCACUCUCUCGCCUCUGUGCUCUCUAACGUUUCCUUGUUUGUCUUCUCUUUGUCUGCCGUUCCUGCGUUUUCGUUUUUGUUUUUGGGCUUCCACCGUCAGUGACUUCGCCACCUUCUUGGCUUCUUCAUCCCUCCCCUCCCCUCUCCUCCCGUUUUCCUCGUCUGUGUGCCCCUUUCCAUGUGUGCGCGCAUGUUUCUGCGUGCCUGCCUGCCUGCCUGUGCGUGUGCGCGUCUUCGCGCUCAUCUUUUUCUCCACCGCCUUGCCUGUCUCCUGAAGCGGGGCGGGUUGGCACGGAAGAGAGCAAGACCGCCGCCCUCACCUUCCCGUUUCAUAACGGCGCCGCCACCACCGUCUCCUCGUUCCUCACAUUCCUGGACAACUCUCAUCCUCCCCUUCUUUUGAUCUACCUUUAUAUGUCUUCUUUCUUUCGCUUUCCUCUUUUUUUUUCUAGUGCGCGCGAUGGUGCCACCAGACCUCCACCGUUUCCGCCUCCGCACCCCCGCCCCGCCCACGUCCGGCUUCUCUUUCACAUGCGUCGCCUUGCAAGCGAUCCCAGCAGGGUGGGAUACGUGGAACAGUGGCAGGGAUGAAAGAGUCGGCUUGCUGACCACUCGCGUCUUCGUCACCCACUGAAGGCAAAACCACAAGGCAAUGAAGGGAGCGACACCUGCACAAAAAUCCCUUUCUCCCUCUCUGUGUGCGUGUGUACGCUGGGGCCAAGGUGGACCUUAAGCACCCCGCCCAGUCAGCGCGACGGAGCUCUCGCGGCCAGCACCGCCCAAGCAGCAUGCACAGGUCGAGCUGGAGGAUAGGGAGACCAUUACCACGCGUGCCGGCAUGACGGACGGGGUACUCUCUGGCCGUGCACUUGGCCGCUGCGUCUUCUCUCGUCUCCUCUGCGUGUGGCGGCGCACUCACUUCGUUGCCCUCCCA